CAUGGAGUUUGAUCCUGGCUCAGAUUGAACGCUGGCGGAAUGCUUUACACAUGCAAGUCGAACGGUAGAGGGGGCAACCCCUUGAGAGUGGCGAACGGGUGAGUAAUAUAUCGGAACGUGCCCAGUCGUGGGGGAUAACGUAGCGAAAGUUACGCUAAUACCGCAUACGAUCUAAGGAUGAAAGCGGGGACUCGCAAGAGCCUCGCGCGAUUGGAGCGGCCGAUAUCAGAUUAGGUAGUUGGUGGGGUAAAGGCUUACCAAGCCAACGAUCUGUAGCUGGUCUGAGAGGACGACCAGCCACACUGGAACUGAGACACGGUCCAGACUCCGUACGGGGAGGCAGC
rnacentral:rRNA from 1 species